GAGAAAACUUGCAAGGACUGCUAAUCCAUGCCCCCGUAUUUAAAACCACGGCUUUCUCA
ensembl:Mt_tRNA